GUGCUCGCUUCAGCAGCACAUAUAAUAAAAUUGGAACGAUACAACAAAGAUUAGCAUGGCCCCUGAGCAAGGAUGACACACAAAUUUGUGAAGCGUUCUAUAUAUUU